rnacentral:lncRNA from 1 species
AAACCAGGUUACUGGGGGUCAAGGAGGCUCGGGAGUGUUUCCCAGGCGUGAAACUGACCCUAGAGGGACCGGGUUCUCCCAGCAGCUUUGUGGGCGGGAGCCUGGGCCGGCUUGAGGGAUUUGGAGGCGUUUCUUGAUGAUGCAACCGACAAACACAAGCACGUGAGAGCUCAGAGCGGGAGGAAACUAGAAACUGAAGGUUGGAGGAGGCAGUGUAGCUCUGGGCGCUACCAGGAGGAAUUCGAGCUCUCCGGUGUCAAGAGGUCCUUUCUGCCUGCCAAAGUGCAGGGAACCUCCACAGCUCAUGGCCAAAGUUCAUGGGAUCCAGAAGAAUAAGCACACAUUAGGAGUUAUCUUCAUGAUGCUGAGGUUGCUGUUUCUUGGUUCCAUGCUUUUGAGAGG